AUCUGGAUUGGCAGGCAGCAGGG
rnacentral:piRNA from 1 species